GGAUGCGAUCAUAGCAGCACUAAAGCACCAGAUCCCAUCAGAACUCCGAAGUUAAGCGUGCUUGGGCGAGAGUAGUACUAAGAUGGGUGACCUCUUGGGAAGUCCUCGUGUUGCAUUCC
rnacentral:rRNA from 1 species